AAGCGGUUAUCCCGUGACUUGGAAACCCUCUCUUCAUUUGUAAAGAAGCUCACAAGUGCCCAGUUUCCGUUGUCUGGAAGGGUUGCCUUCGAGGAUGUUCUGAAGAAUGAUGAGAACACAAGGCACGGUUUCGAAAGCCUAAACAUCUCCAACAAGGACUUCUAUCCUGCCUUCUUCAAGUCAAGCGUCAGCGUCCGGGCACUUCAAAAGAUAUUUGACAGGGGUAAGGAGGGCAUUCGAGGCUACUUCUGCAAGCCAGGUGCACCCCAGGUGCUUUUUGUAGCUGACGCCCCAGAAGGGGGUGACGAGCAUGGUCACCUGCAGCGUGACC
rnacentral:lncRNA from 1 species